CUCAGCAGCCUGACCUGGCUCUCUCUUCCCCCUGCGUCCGGUCAACUCGGACAUUACACGACACAAAGGUGGAAGGGAAGAGCCGCUAGAGGACUUGGAACCCAGCUGUUGACCUGAAGAGUUGCUGGAAAUUCUGUAUUUUCCAGCGAUAACCAUGGGGCACCACUGGGUCAUGUCCACCUUCCUUCUGCUGGCGUUUGCCUUGACUCCAACUACAGGCCAGCGGGACUUUGAUUUGGCUGACGCUCUCGACCCUUCUGAUGAUGUUACUAGGAAACCCUAUCCAGUUACCAAGAGGCCAGUGCCCGGAAAUGAUUUUAAUUUAGAAGAUGGAGGUGGCGGAGGUAAGUAUUGA
rnacentral:lncRNA from 1 species